AGUGAGUUGAAAAAAAUUUUGAAGAUCUGACAUGACAGCAUUCAACAUGAAAACACAUUUUGAGCUUUGUGGCUGCUUUACCAGUCUGGGCAACUUAAGUAAUUGACUGUUCAAAAUCACUGCAAUGGUCAGGUUUCCAUUACAAAUGUCUAUGUACAACAAUGAUUUAGAUUUGGAGUAGAUUCCCAAAAAUCCUGAAAACAAAAUACCCAAGUGAGAAGAUUUACGGUCAGUACAGAAGAUGAUGAAGAGUCUCCUUUCCCUCACCUUGACUGUCGUUAAGGUCCUUGUGCUUGAGAAUGAUUCAUGUGUGUCUAUUUGCUCAAUCAUUUGUCACUUACUUUUUUUCAUGCCCACAAGAUUAUAUCCGCUUCCACCAAACCGAUGAAAUUAGUCUGAGAAGAGCCAUUGGAAAAGAAAUUUGCUUCUUGUCCGCUGCCAUGAGAUCCAAAUCAUACAGUAUUGACAAUGACUGAUUGCACAAGGCUCAGUCGAACUGCGCGCAUGGGUAUAAUUUUCUUACUUUUGGUAUUUUGGUGGACUGGCGCAGUUAGAAAUGGGCGUUUGUGUUUUUUUGUAUCUUGAGUUCGCCUAAAAAGCUUGGUUUUGGAAUGUGCUGGGAAGUGGGAGAAAACUCGUGAUAGGAAAAUGCAGCUUCAAAUUUGCUUCAUGAAACAGCUGUUGUAUUUUUUGACUCGUCUUCAAAGCACUUUGUGUUCAAAAUUGGCUUGGAAACACAGUGGCUUGCUGUUUCUUAAACCCCUUAUUUAAAACCAACAGUGCCAUCGAGACAAGUAAAAAAACAACAACAACAAAAACAACUGGUUUAUGAAGCACAUUUGAAGCUUCAUUUUCCCAUCACGAGAGAAAACCACACAAACAAUGGAAGGCUCUGCAAACUCCACACAGAAAAACCUGAGCCGAGAUGUGAAGGCAAAACGGCUUGACUGUGAGGCGGACAUUUGUAAAUUUAAUGAAACAACUUUGACAUUUAGUCGAGACUACGAUUUCGACGAUCAACGAGCUGUCAAAAUCAAAAGGCCAUCUUCCAUUCCUUCUUCAUUAGAUAAUGUCGUAAAUGAUUGAUCUACGCUUUAGCACAUGUAACAGUCUUGUUAAUUAAGGGCUAAUGAUCCCAGCUUCAUAUUUCCAAGAGUAAAAUUUGUUUGUUUUAUUGCGUUUAGGCGAUGAUAAUAGUCUUGUGUUUGAUGAAAUGAAACACAAUGCGUCUCCCGCUUGCCAUGAUUCCCAUUGUGACUGGGUUGAAAUUGUGUGGCAGCUGCUGAGCCUUGAUCAUUUCAGGAAGAGAGAGACAGAGAGAGAGCGAGCGAAAGAGAGAAUGUGCAGGCUUCUCAUCAACCCUGUUCAGCCCCGUGCAAAUGAAGGCAACUGUUUUCCCUGCUGGGAUGAGGCGAGCCACCAUUACAAGGACUUCAUUUGCUGACCUCCGGGCCGGACAAGAACAAACAUCCACAUUGCAUUUAGAAGAUGAAGAAGAAGAAGCUCAUGUGUGCAUUUUACCAUCCCAUGUGCUGCCAUUGCAGCAGGAGUUGAAGAAAAUCAAUUGAGGUCACUGAAGGCGGAGUCUGCAUCAUCCGACUGGUAGAAUGGACUGGUGAUGUGGAGGUGCCUCAGAGGUGUAUUCACACUGCGACGGCUGACUUUGCGGUGUACAUUCCUAUCUUCUAGCUACCAUAUACUGUAUGUAUAGAUCUCUUGGGCCACUUCGUUCCAUCUCUGGUUCUUGUAAGAGGCAGGAGAUUGAGGAGUCACCACAGAAAGUAACUCACUGUAUGACGCAACCCUCCCAUUUAUCUGGGGCUUGGGGCUGCACCUCAUGAGCCGAUGAUGCCUGGGAAUCGAACCUGCAUUAAAGGCGGGAAGCAGCCAGACUCAUUUUUGAGCGCCAGAGGAAUGAAACGUAAGACAAAGGACUGCGUUACGUUUGAAGUCUGGAAAAUGCACAUUUAAACCAAAAGAAUGCUGCCAUUGGCUGAGACGUCAUUUUAAGGACGAUCAUAAUUAGAAUUUGCAAAUGUGACAAAUGAUAGAAAUACCUUUUUGUUUUGUUUUUUUUGUUUUGUUUUGUUUUUUGCAGGGGGGGUCAUGCUACCAUAGAACAACUGCACUGAGGAAAAAAUAUGAUGAGGAUGUAAUUUAAUCCAAUCCAUCAGUACAAUGAACUCCAUUGUGGCUGCAGUGUACAGUGUGGCUCGGUCAACAAUCUGUCGAUGCCACUAAAGUCAAGUUCAAACCACAGAUUUCUUUGGAGGUAACACCUGAAAACGUGCAGAGACUGACAACGGCGCCAUUCAGAAAUGAGCAUUUAAGCUAUUUUUCACCAGUUUUUUUGGGGGGGUGGGGGGGGGGUCCCAUGUAUUUUCCGUAGCCAAAAGGAUGAAUUAAAUUCAGACUGAGGUUGACCAAUUCGA